CAUAAGCUCUCUUGCUCUCAUUUUCCACGGGUACACACACAAAUCAAAAAUUUCAGCUCACUUUGCUCUCUUUUUCUCUCAAGGAAAGAGCUAGGAAGCUCUCUUAGGUCCACUUAGUCAGGUCCAUGGGUCAACAAAUUAGAAGAGAGAUAAGGCUUCAUCAUCUUUCUUCUUUCUACUCUUUUAGAAGCAACUAGAAUAGUUAAGAGCUCUCUCCCUCUUUCAUUCCUGCGGUUCCAACACCAAAAGAAGGAAAAGCUCUCAAUUAUUUUCUCCCUUUCACACCUACAUGUCCAGCAGCAAGAAGGAAGCUUCUUCAACUCUCUUAAGCUCUCUACCUCUCAUACUUUCUGGUCCAGCCACUAGGAAAGGUAAAUCCUUUCAUGUGUUACCAGUAUCCAAGUCUAAGCUCCUUCGACUGUAGGCUCUCGGUUCCUUUGCUUUCAGGUAAGGGAUAAGUUAUAUGGGCAUUUGGUAAGUCAUGAGGUUAUUUUAAAGAAUAUUAUGCAUUAAAAUAUUUUUGAUUAGAGAUAUGGCAUGUAAUCAUUAUUCUGACAAAGAUGUGUUCGUGCAUUUUCGAAAUUCUAUGUAUAUGAUUUGAGCAUAUUGAUGCCAUUACUAAUUUCCACAAACAUGAAGUUUAAAGAAAAGAAUGAAAAUAUUAUUAUUAUGAAAUGUUAUGCAAAAUAAGAAAUUUUAGUAUGAUGUAAAGUAUGAAACGUUUUCGGGUUAUGUCUUCUGGUGAUCUGAACUCUGCUAGUAGGGGUUAAUUACUGGCUUUUCAUGGAAAAUGUUAUAUGAUUUGGCCAUUAAGUGGGACUGGCUCUUCUGUACCCGCCCCUUGUUGGUUACGGCCAACUUGUGGGGGAAGCCAACCUACCCCCAUGGUUGGAAGAUAUGUAUUAUGAUGUAAUCCUGGGAAUACCUGGCAUUGUGGGGAAUACUGGAUGCCUAGCACUGUGGUGCUAAAAGCCUCCCAAAUAAGUACAGACUUAUCAGAUAUGGGCUAACCAAUAAGUUAUUUAUGAACAGCUAUGUUAUGUUAUUAAUCAUGAGAGAAUUAUUUUGUUUAAAUGCAUUGUGAAAAGUGAAAACUCUCAUGGCAAGAAGAAGUUUCUAAUGAAAAGAAAAGCUGUUCAUUAAAGAUAAAAGUUUCCUAAGUUCUGAUAUGCUAUAAAGGUAAAGUUUCUAAUGAAA